rnacentral:rRNA from 1 species
UACGGAGGGUGCAAGCGUUAUCCGGAUUCACUGGGUUUAAAGGGUGCGUAGGCGGAAUGAUAAGUCAGUGGUGAAAGCCCCGAGCUCAACUUGGGAAUUGCCAUUGAUACUGUUGUUCUUGAGUUCGGUUGAGGUAGGCGGAAUGUUGCAUGUAGCGGUGAAAUGCUUAGAUAUGCAACAGAACCCCGAUUGCGAAGGCAGCUUACCAAGCCGACACUGACGCUGAUGCACGAAAGCGUGGGGAUCAAACAGG